AGGGAGCUGGGAAUGACGUCGACAGGCGUGGUAAUAACAAUGAGAACACUAUUAAGUCCAGACUGCACGGGCUCACUAGUAAAAAUGUGGAGAGGGGGAGUGAAAAAAGAGCAGGGUGUGCCUAUAAAAUAUGAAAUAUGUGUAUGAAAAUCUCAUACCUGUGGUGGUUUGAUUGAAACUUUCACUCGAAGUGAAACAAACGAAGCCACACGCCACGGUCGUGGAGUUUCCUGUGAGUCUGGGAGUGCGCACAGAGAAUCCGAGCAGUACAGUACAUAGGAAAUGACUCAUAGGAGUUGAACUGCUAGCGUGGGUGUGUGCGCUAUUAAAACAAGGCGCAGACUCCUCCGUAUGACUCACUCUGAUGCUCGCUUUUCCAUGCUGAAAACCAGCACGGAUUGUUAAUCAGAUGAACUUUCGGGAAUUGUGUAGCCGACAGCGAGCAGCUUUUUACGCGCAGACAUCAUGGCUUCGAACGCUCUUUGCGCGCUGUGCGGACUUAUUAUAGCGGCUGUGACCAGUCUCCACGGCGUGAGCGCACAAAAAAGUCAGUGUGGCAGCUCAGAGUUUUGGAGCACAGAUUUGGAUGUUUGUCUUCCCUGCGCAUCGUGCAAGCAGUACCCAAAGACUCCGUCCUGCAACACAUGUAAAUCUGUGGAUGAGACGCCUGAUGUGUGGAAACUGGCAGCCAUCACCAGUUUCUCGGUGCUCGCUGUUGUGCUGGUUGGUGCUGCGUUGAUUAUCGGCGUCAUGGUGCAUCGACGCAAAUCACACAAACGACCUCUACGUGAACCCAUUGAAGAAACUGCGGGGCCACUUUACCAAGCUUAAAACAGCUCACCUCAUCUUCUUCUGGAAACAGAUGUGACAGAACCAUGGAGCGACUGAUUACGAGCCAGGCGGAGGAACCUCUGGAUGAUGAACCGUACACUCUGACUGCAGGGGGAACCCUGGCUACAAUUGGACCAUUUUAAUUUAUUAGACUGUUGGGUGGAGAGACGUCCUCAGUUCUCACUGUGGGUCUAGUGGUGACCACAGGACUUGCAAAGAGCAACUCUCCCACCUCUGUAGGAAUAGUAACAUCUUAUUACUAGCGGUAUCAUCUUUAGAAACCAUGUGCCUUUAUAUUCCACUUAUUUUAGAUCUGCAAGACCUUUGCGGGUUUUCGGAUGUUUGAUUCAAAAAAUCCUGAUCCAGUCCAUGCUCCUGUAUUGCGUUGUGCUGUUUUUCAGCAGGACUCCAGUGAAUGUAACACAGCUACAGCUGCCAGCUGGGCUGCAGUUUGAUCCCCUGCUAUUCUAAGGGGUUAGACGGGGUCUUGGUGCUGGUCAUUUACCACAACAGCCUCUGAAAGAUAAAUCACAUGUGAGUAAGACAUACUGUUUGGCACAUUAAGGCCAUUUGAAUGUAGCUACUUCUAGGUGAAAUGUAUUCUAGCCUUGCCAGUACCUCCAUGUACCUGUUCUUUUAGUAGCCUGAUAAAGCUGUUGAUUAAGGGAGCAAACCGUACUCAUGCACUGUUACUGGGUUUCCUGAGACCAACACUGACCGCUCACCGCAGGUCAUCAUAACAUUGUCUUGUCUGUUUUCAUGUUACUAAGUUUUAGGAGAAUUUAGAUUUAGUCUCGUCUGUUCCAAUCCCCUGAAUUCACAUCACCGUCCGAGUGCCUGUAGGACAGGAUGCUUGAAACACUAGACACACAAUCCCAAACUGCUAACAUGUGGGAAUGUUGCGAGGAAUGUACUGUAGUGAAGAAAAUUACAGACACCGACAGUGUUUUAGGUGGAGCUUCACAAUCACACUGCUUGUUGAAUCGGACCUGUGAAGAUCUUUUUAAAGCUACAAAGAAAAGAAAAAAAAAAAAAGAUGUUGGUGAUUGUGGAGUCUGUAAUUUUGUUGCCACCGAAACCAGCAAGAACCGCAGUGGACAGGGUUGUUGUUUUCCACCUUUUUUUUCCUUUUGUAAAAUCUUUUUUAAUCAAACUGUCAUUCACCACAUGGUUCUUUAGAAUUCUAAUGUUUUGUCCCUGACAGUGUUUCAGGUCCGGUUUGGGAUCUGUCUGCUUGUCCUCUGUCCAUUUAUCAUACAGAUACUUUUUUUUUUUUUUAGAUGUUUAUAUUAUUUAUUUUUAAGUAUCUUGCAGUGUCAACUGUGAGGGACAAGCACAUGUUUUAAAGGGACUCCAGGGAAGAUUUUUUUAAACUUCCAACAGGCCAGCCAUUGACAUUACUGAGCAAUAACUAACAUUUUCAUGCUUAUUUCUCUUCGCCUUCUAUUCCUUUUUUUUGUAUUUACUGUACAUGCACUGGCUUCUUUUACUUAUAAACUGCUUUGUGUAGCAAAUGUAUUUUCACAAUAAAACUGACAAUUUUUAGUACUGCAAGUGUUAAUGUGCAAACUACAAAAUCUGCUCCAUUUUCAAGUAACUUUAACUUUUAUAUUGCAAUAAGAAAAAAGAUUUUUUUUAAAACCCCAAACUACUAAAUAAGAACAAGAAACAGCCACACUGUAUUUUCCAAG
ensembl:lncRNA